CAGAGCAAGGACACCCUAGUCAAAGGAGUUUGGAUCCACAGCUCAAGGCUGGAGGGAAGUUGUGCGGCUGUGUCACGCGGGAGUCAGCCACCCUGUGGUCGUCUGAAGUCAGCUGCGUGCAAAUGGAAACCAGACUCCUGGCCAGGUGCCCCCACUGCAUAGCUGGGGCACCAAGGCUGCAACCAGGUCUGCCCUGUGACGGGAUCCCUGCCGCCCCCCACCCCAGGAGCCUCAGAGCCGGCCUCAGGACAUCCUCCCAGAAGUACAAAUGUGAUCUGGCUGCUGUGGUCUCUGCAGCUGAAUGAAGCAGAACGACUCUUCCACACAAGUGGGCAAACUGAAGAUGGAAAGAUGUACCCUGUGUGGAGAGUGUCCAGAGCUCUCCAGACUGUCCCUGUUGGAAUAAAACAGUGUGACCCUUGA